AUGCGUUAAGGAUAGAAGUGGCAUCCUUUUUUGCCAUUAGAAGCAAAAAAGAUAUAACGGAUAGCCUGACCUAAA
rnacentral:sRNA from 1 species